rnacentral:rRNA from 1 species
CACCACCUGACCCCAUGCCGAACUCAGAAGUGAAA